UGGCGGGGUAACGGCCCACCAAACCGACGAUGGAUAGGGGUUCUGAGAGGAAGGUCCCCCACAUUGGAACUGAGACACGGUCCAAACUCCUACGGGAGGCAGCAGUGAGGAAUAUUGGUCAAUGGACGAGAGUCUGAACCAGCCAAGUAGCGUGAAGGAUGACUGCCCUAUGGGUUGUAAACUUCUUUUAUACGGGAAUAAAGUUAGCCACGUGUGGUUUUUUGCAUGUACCGUAUGAAUAAGGAUCGGCUAACUCCGUGCCAGCAGCCGCGGUAAUACGGAGGAUCCGAGCGUUAUCCGGAUUUAUUGGGUUUAAAGGGAGCGUAGGCGGGGUAUUAAGUCAGUUGUGAAAGUUUGCGGCUCAACCGUAAAAUUGCAGUUGAUACUGGUAUCCUUGAGUGCAGCAGAGGUGGGCGGAAUUCGUGGUGUAGCGGUGAAAUGCUUAGAUAUCACGAAGAACUCCGAUUGCGAAGGCAGCUCACUGGAGUGUAACUGACGCUGAUGCUCGAAAGUGUGGGUAUCAAACAGGAUUAGAUACCCUGGUAG
rnacentral:rRNA from 1 species